UACGUAGGGGGCGAGCGUUGUCCGGAUUUAUUGGGCGUAAAGAGCGUGUAGGCGGCUUUACAGGUCCGUUGUGAAAACUCGAGGCUCAACCUCGAGACGCCGGUGGAAACCGUAAGGCUAGAGUCCGGAAGAGGAGAGUGGAAUUCCUGGUGUAGCGGUGAAAUGCGCAGAUAUCAGGAAGAACACCCGUGGCGAAGGCGGCUCUCUGGGACGGUACUGACGCUGAGACGCGAAAGCGUGGGGAGCGAACAGG
rnacentral:rRNA from 1 species